GCCGUCGUGGUGGAAUUGGUAGACACGUACGUUUGAGGGGCGUAUGGGGCAACCCAUGCCGGUUCGAGUCCGGCCGACGGCACCA
rnacentral:tRNA from 2 species